rnacentral:rRNA from 1 species
AUGCAUGUAUAAGUACAAGCCGUCCCGUACGGUGAAACCGCGAAAGGCUCAUUAAAUCAGUUAUGGUUCCUUAGAUCGUACCCACGUUACAUGGAUAACUGUGGUAAUUCUAGAGCUAAUACAUGCCCACAGAGCUCCGACCAGCGUUUCCAGUCGUACGGCGGUUCGCCCGUCGUCGCUGGACGUUCGGAAGGAGCGCUUUUAUUAUAUCAAAACCCGCCACGCGCGUCGUACACCCUUCAUUGUCCCGUACGUACCCGUAACUGGCCCGCGCAAAGACUUGACCACUCUGAAUAACUUCCAGCUGAUCGCACGGUCCUAGCGACCGGCGACGUAUCUUUCAAAUGUUUGCCUUAUCAACUGUCGACGGUAGGUUCUACGCCUGCCGUGGCGGUAACGGGUAACGGGGAAUCAGGGUUUGAUUCCGGAGAGGGAGCCUGGGAAACGGCUACCCCAUUUAAGGGAGGCAGCAGGCGCGCAAAUUAU